rnacentral:snRNA from 1 species
GUGCUUGCUUCAGCAGCACAUAUGCUAAAACUGGAACAAUACAGAGAAGAUUAGCAUGGCCCCAGAACAAGGAUGACAUGCAAAUUCAUGAAGUGUUCCAUAUUUUU